rfam:Schistosoma rodhaini strain Burundi genome assembly, scaffold: SROB_scaffold0001114
AUCCAGCUGACGAGUCCAACACAGGACGAAACGCGCGUCCUGGAU